rnacentral:rRNA from 1 species
GAUGAACGCUGGCGGCGUGCCUAAUACAUGCAAGUCGAGCGAACGGACGAGAAGCUUGCUUCACUGAUGUUAGCGGCGGACGGGGGAGUAACACGUGGAUAACCUACCUAUAAGACUGGGAUAACUUCGGGAAACCGGAGCUAAUACCGGAUGAUAUUUUGAACCGCAUGGUUCAAAAGUGAAAGACGGUCUUGGUGUCACUUAUAGAUGGAUCCGCGCUGCAUUAGCUAGUUGGUAAGGUAACGGCUUACCAAGGCAACGAUGCAUAGCCGACCUGAGAGGGUGAUCGGCCACACUGGAACUGAGACACGGUCCAGACUCCUACGGGAGGCAGCAGUAGGGAAUCUUCCGCAAUGGGCGAAAGCCUGACGGAGCAACGCCGCGUGAGUGAUGAAGGUCUUCGGAUCGUAAAACUCUGUUAUUGGGGAAGAACAUAUGUGUAAGUAACUGUGCACAUCUUGACGGUACCUAAUCAGAAAGCCACGGCUAACUACGUG